rnacentral:lncRNA from 1 species
ACCACUAGAUUCAUUAGGAGUGGUUAUAUCAUCUUCAAACAAGACAUUAUACCUUAAGAGAGUAUGAUCUAUUUCACGGGCAGAUUCGGAACAAACACGUUCAUCACUCUCUAAGAGAUCAAUAUCAAGUUUCAAAGAGAUUUCAAGUGCAAGAUUAUCCCAAGAAUAGCUCUCGGGUUCACUCCUAUUCCUUUGAUGAAUAUUUUCAACAUCAUCACACACUUGACAUUCAUUAAUCACAU